rnacentral:rRNA from 1 species
AAUCCGGCCUGUCUCGGUGAACGGACACACUGGAACUGAGACACGGUCCAGACUCCUACGGGAGGCAGCAGUAGGGAAUAUUGCUCAAUGGGGGAAACCCUGAAGCAGCAACGCCGCGUGGAGGAUGAAGGUUUUAGGAUUGUAAACUCCUUUUGUUAGAGAAGAUAAUGACGGUAUCUAACGAAUAAGCACCGGCUAACUCCGUGCCAGCAGCCGCGGUAAUACGGAGGGUGCAAGCGUUACUCGGAAUCACUGGGCGUAAAGAGCGCGUAGGCGGGAUAGUCAGUCAGGUGUGAAAUCCUAUGGCUUAACCAUAGAACUGCAUUUGAAACUACUAUUCUAGAGUGUGGGAGAGGUAGGUGGAAUUCUUGGUGUAGGGGUAAAAUCCGUAGAGAUCAAGAGGAAUACUCAUUGCGAAGGCGACCUGCUGGAACAUUACUGACGCUGAUUGCCUU